rnacentral:lncRNA from 1 species
UUCAUCUUCAUCUUCCGACUUGAUACAGAGCGGGUGUAGGAUCUGAGUUUGUUCUUCAUCUAGGGUUUUGAUGAUGAGUGCAAUUCUGUGACGGGCUUGCCUUUCAUCUUUUCACUCCAAACCCUAAACAACUCUCCAUCAUCUCUCAGGCUCCUUCAACAACGCCGAUUUUCUUCGAAGGUGAGUUUCUACUUCCAACAAUCUUCACCACAACAUUUGAUUUUGUAAUAUGCAUCUUCUCCUUCUUAAGAAUCUUUGGUACGAUUUAAUGUUUUCAACUUCAUCGGCUGUGAUGAACAUAUCCGGUUAUUAUGCUUCUGUGCCGUCCGCCGAUAUGAAGUAAACCUUAUCCAAACGCAGAUAAUAGAUAU